AGAAUCGGAGGACGGAACAGGCAGCCGUCGCCCAUUGUUAGAAGAUGCGGGAAUCGUCACCCCGCCUGAUUCU
ncrna:unclassified sequences skipping-rope RNA